GUCUUAAUAGUUUAUACAAAAACAUUGGUUUUGUAAAUCAAAAAUAGAAUUCAUUCUUUAAGAUU
rnacentral:tRNA from 1 species